rnacentral:rRNA from 1 species
UACGAAGGACCCGAGCGUUAUCCGGAUUUAUUGGGUUUAAAGGGUGCGUAGGCGGAUUUACAAGUCAGUGGUGAAAUCUCCCAGCUUAACUGGGAAACUGCCAUUGAAACUGUUUAUCUUGAGUACAUUUGAGGCGGGCGGAAUGUGUCAUGUAGAGGUGAAAUUCUUAGAUAUGACACAGAACACCAACGGCGAAGGCAGCUCGCUAGGACGGUACUGACGCUGAGACGCGAAAGCGUGGGGAGCGAACAGG